ensembl:lncRNA
AGAGUCUCCAACAACGACUACAGAGGCAACAACCACAACUACAGCUGCCCCAACUACAACUACAGCUGCUGCAACAACUACAGAGUCUCCAACAACGACUACAGAGGCUCCAACAACCACUACAGAGGCUACAACCACAACUACAGCUGUCGCAAUCACUACUACAGCUGCUCCAACAACCACUACAGAGUCUCCAACAACGACUACAGAAGCUACAACCACAACUACAGCUGCCCCAACUACCACUACAGUUGCUGCUACAACCACAACUACAGCUGUCGCAAUCACUACUACAGCUGCUCCAACAACCACUACAGAGUCUCCAACAACGACUACAGAAGCUACAACCACAACUACAGCUGCCCCAACUACCACUACAGUUGCUGCAACAACAACAACAGAGUCUCCAACAACAAUGACUACAGAGGCUACAACCACAACUACAGCUGUCGCAACCACUACUACAGUUACUCCAACAACCACUACAGAGUCUCCAACAACCACUACAGAGGCUACAACCACAACUACAGCUAUCGCAACCACUACUGCAGUUACUCCAACAACCACUGCAGAGUCUCCAACAACGACUACAGAGGCUACAACCACAACUACAGCUGCCCCAACUACAACAACAGUUGCUGCAACAACAACAACAGAGUCUCCAACAACAACGACUACAGAGGCUACAACCACAAGUACAGCUGUCGCAAUCACUACUACAGUUACUCCAACAACCACUACAGAGUCUCCAACAACGACUACAGAGGCAACAACCACAACUACAGCUGCCCCAACUACAACUACAGCUGCUGCAACAACUACAGAGUCUCCAACAACAACAACAGAGGCUACAACCACAACUACAGUUGUCGCAACUACUACUACAGCUGCUCCAACAACCACUACAGAGUCUCCAACAACCACUACAGAGGCUACAACCACAACUACAGCUGUCGCAACUACUACUACGGCUGCUCCAACAACCACUACAGAGGCUACAACAACAACGACAGAGGCUACAACCACAACUACAGCUGUCGCAACCACUACUACAGCUGCUCCAACAACCACUACAGAGUCUCCAACAACAACAACAGAGGCUACAACCACAACUACAGUUGUCGCAACUACUACUACAGCAGCUCCAAC